AUAACUUUAAAUUCGCCCCUAAGUCAUAAAUAAUGUUUUUAAUGUGUAGAGCCGUUCUGCAACCACUUGAAAUAUCCUUUUUUUACUUGUCACGGCUUUUUAAGUCGACGCGCCUUACCUCACAACAGUUUUAGAAGUUUGCCGGAUCGCAGUGAUUUUUAAUAUUCUUAACUUUUGAGGCUAUUAUUUAUUUUACAAGAAAACUAUAUAAUGUCGUAAGUAGAAAGUGUUUACUUAUAAUACCAAGUACUGGGUGGACCUGAAGGCCAAAAUAAAACGUAAAAAUAGAACAAUUCGAGAGAGCAUCAGCAGGACAGGAGGGGGCCCGCCAAGUGGGGAAGAGCUAACAGAAAUUGACAUAAAAUUUUUAAGUAUCCUUGGUGAGGAAUAUGGCAUGGGUUUACCAGCGGUGCAGGUGAACCCAUUGCAGGAUGAUAUGAGACCUGAAGCUGGCCCCUCUGGCAUUCGAGGUAUUGAAGUCGAAUCCAUUACAGAAGAAUGGUUAGAAGUUCCUUCUAGUGUAUGUC